UAAUAACUUGGUGAUGGGGUUCACCAGAAACUUAUUUUCAAACCGCAAAAAUUGCUGAUAACUCCUAUGUUAUA
ncrna:unclassified sequences Fluoride riboswitch